CUUAUGAACUCCAAUUGUUCUCUCUCCAUUUCUUGUAUUUCUAAGAAGACCGACAUAUGAUUUGGGCUGACUUGGACUUCGCAGAUGCCUUUUAUGGUGGAGGAAAUCACAGUCACAAUUGCAACUCUCAUUGUCACAAAGAGAUGACCCAGCACCUCCUAAUUCACCCAAGCCGAAGCCAAAUGCAAACCCUAAGCAACCUGGAUUUAUUGGUAAGUGCUUCUCACUCUAUGGGUUGUCUGUAUAUUGUCCAUAGUAGAGUGGCAUCCACGUCAGCUGGAUGAGAGGCUUUCAGAUGAGCAUGUGCUUGCUAUUAACUCUGUACAGAGUUAUUCCAUUGGGCAGGGAGGGAAGUACACAGUUUUCUGAAAUAGAUAUUUGACUUCAUUUUAUUUUUAGUUUGCUGAUUUUACUUCCAAGAUUGUAUGGAACUUCUAAAACACUGAGCACAAGAUUUUCAUGUGAACUUGGUAUAGAGAAAAUGGCCUGUGCAUUCCCUGUAGAGAAACUUGGGUGUUUUCAAUGUUUUUGCUCUUGAAUAUUUGUAUCAGCUAUUUUGACACUUGAGAGCAUUCUCAGGGUAAUCUGACUAGCAACUGGUUUUUGAAGUGAAUUGUUGUGAAACAUUCAGGGUUUUAGUUUUGUUUUUGUUUUUAAUUUUUAACACAGAAUCAUAAAUAAUGUGCCUGCGCUCUUGGCAUUUUGAUGGUUAUUUGCACUUAUAUUUUAUAUAUCAGUUUAAAUGAAGCAAAUGUUAAGUAAUAAAGCCAGUCUUUUGUUCAUACUGCACUGUAACGUUAUUAUUAUUAUUAUUAUUAUUAUUUGAGAUGGAGUCUCGCUCUGUCACCCAGGUGGGAGUGCAGUGGCACGAUCUCAGCUCACUGCAACCUCUGCCUCCUGGGUUCGAGCAAUUCUCCUGCCUCAGCCUCCUGAGUAACUGGGAUUACAGGCAUGCACCACCAUGCCCAGCUCAUUUUUUUGUGUGUAUUUGUAGUACAGGUGGGGUUUCUCCACGCUGGCCAAGCUGGUCUCAAACUCCUGACCUCAGGUGAUCUGCCCACCUCGGCCUCCCAGAAUUCUGGGAUUACAGGCAUGAGCCACUGCACCCGGCCUAUUUUAUAGUUAUUAAUAGUCACUGAACAUUUGCUCAUGUCAUUUGAUCAUUUAUAUCAUAUGACAUUUACUGUCAAUUAUAUACUAUUCUAUAUAGAUAUAUAAUACAUUAAUUUAUUUAACUAAUCCCUAAUGUCUAAACUAUUGUGUCUUCUGACUUUUUAGAGUUAGGAAUUACAAGGCAAAUUUGAGUCAACUUCAUCUGCUUUUUUUUUUUGAAGAGAUUUCUGGUAUUCAAAUUGUCUAGAUCAAUGUAGAUGAGUCCUUUUCUUUUUUUUUUUUUUUUUUUUUUGAGACGGAGUCUCUCUCUGUCGCCCAGCCCAGGCUGGAGUGCAGUGGCGAUCUUGGCUCACUGCAAGCUCUGCCUCCCGG
rnacentral:lncRNA from 1 species